GACGAACGCUGGCAGCGUGCUUACACAUGCAAGUCGACGAAAGGAAGAGAAAAGCUUGCUUUUUUCUGAAUUGAGUGGCAAACGGGUGAGUAACACGUAAACAACCUGCCUUCAGGUGGGGACAACAGACGGAAACGACUGCUAAUACCGAAUACGUUCCACAGAGCGCAUGCUUUAUGGAAGAAAGGGUGGCCUCACCUGUAAGCUAUCGCCUGAAGAGGGGUUUGCGUCUGAUAGGCAGUUGGCGGGGUAACGGCCCACCAAACCGACGAUCAGUAGCCGGUCCGAGAGGAUGAACGGCCACCUGGAACUGAGACACGGUCCAGACUCCUCGGGAGGCAGCAGUGGGGAAUCUUCCGCAAUUGGCGAAAGCCUGACGGAGCAACUCCGCGUGUUGAAGACGGCCUUCGGGUUGUAAAGCUCUCUGAUCCGGGACGAAAGAGCGCCAUACGAAGAAUAUGGCGAAGUGACGGUACCGUAGAAGAAAGCCACGGCUAACUACGUGCCAGCAGCCGCGGUAAUACGUAGGUGGCAAGCGUUGUCCGGAAUUAUUGGGCGUAAAGGGCGCGCAGGCGGCCUCUUAAGUCCAUCUUAAAAGAGCGGGGCUUAACCCCGUUAUGGGAUGGAAACUGAGAAGCUGGAGUAUCGGAGAGGAAAGUGGAAUUUCUAGUGUAGCGGUGAAAUGCGUAGAGAUUAGGAAGAACACCGGUGGCGAAGGCGACUUUCUGGACGACAACUGACGCUGAGGCGCGAAAGCGUGGGGAGCAAACAGGAUUAGAUACCCUGGUAGUCCACGCCGUAAACGAUGGAUACUAGGUGUAGGAGGUAUCGACCCCUUCCGUGCCGGAGUUAACGCAAUAAGUACCCCGCCUGGGGAGUACGGCCGCAAGGUUGAAACUCAAAGGAAUUGACGGGGGCCCGCACAAGCGGUGGAGUAUGUGGUUUAAUUCGACGCAACGCGAAGAACCUUACCAGGUCUUGACAUUGAUCGCAAUCUUAAGAAAUUAAGAGUUUCCCUU
rnacentral:rRNA from 1 species